rnacentral:rRNA from 1 species
AUUGAACGCUGGCGGCAGGCCUAACACAUGCAAGUCGAGCGAGCGGCGGACGGGUGAGUAAUGUCUGGGGACCUGCCUGAUGGAGGGGGAUAACUACUGGAAACGGUAGCUAAUACCGCAUACCAUCAGAUGUACCCAUAUGGGAUUAGCUAGUAGGUGGGGUAACGGCUCACCAAGGCCACGAUCCCUAGCUGGUCUGAGAGGAUGAUCAGCCACACUGGGACUGAGACACGGCCCAGACUCAUACGGGAGGCAGCAGGGGGGAAUAUUGCACAAUGGGCGCAAGCCUGAUGAAGCCAUGCCGCGUGAAUGAAGAAGGCCUUCGGAUCGUAAAAUACUUUCAGUCGGGAAGCGGUACCGACAGAAAAAGCAACGGCUAACUACGUGCCAGCAGCCGCGGUAAUAC